rnacentral:rRNA from 1 species
UUUCGUUCCACGAACGCGUGAUCCCUCCCCAGGGCCACACAUGCGGAAGCCUUUGCAGCUGGAGACAGCAAGCCGAGCGACAGUAAACAAUUCGGCCUCAUGCAAGUCGGCCUAGGCCGGCGACACUUUCGAAUUGACGGGGACGUCCUAAAGCCCUUUCCACCAAGCCAGUGCGGGAAACCCGCUGGUGGCCCGCCUAAUCCGCGGGGUACGGUAACAGAGAAAGGGAUGACCUGGGGCCUUUCAGGCACCGGCGAAAUGGGCCAUCCGCAGCGAAGCCCCUCCAUCUCGGCGCGAGCCGGGGCGUGGGGAACGUCCACAGACUAAGUGGAAGUGGGUGGAGCCUCCGGGCUCUGCUUAAGAUAUAGUCGGGCCCCUGGGGAAACCCGGGGGAGCGUGUACCGUUCCGUAGGUGAACCUUCGGAAGGAUCAUUAUCGAAAUGCAGCGGGGCGGACGGCCGCAAG